AAUAAAAUGGCGUUGUAGUGUGCUUGUUACUUAUACAAACGUGUGGUGUGCCUACGUGUUCUCGGAUGUACCGCAAAGCCAGUGU